AUGCCACCUAGAAAAUGGGAGAAAACUUUUGCAAUCUAUCCGUCUGACAAAUAUCUAAUAUCCAGAAAUUACAAGGAACUUAAACAAAUUUACAAGAAAAAAUCAAACAACCCCAUCAAAAAGUGCGUGAAGAAUAUAAACAGACACUUUUAAAAAGAAGACAUUUA